CUCGCGCUACUGCUACCUGCUUCUUCGAGCUGCACGCCACAAGAAGUCCGCAUUACAUUUCUUUUAGCUGCUUCUUAGAAGCCUCACUAGAAGAUGGUCAACAAUGACUCUAUUCAGGCUCGGUGGACGACGGAAGCUCGGCAGAGGAUCAACGAUGAUAGACGUAACAAGUGGAUGUAUGAGUAAAAAUAAAUGUAAUGUAAUUGAAUGGCUAUUACAAUCAUAAUUGGAGUUUUUGUAUUUAAUUUUGUAUUUUAAGGCUAGAAUUUUCAUCUUUUCUGAAGAGAUGUGCCCGAAUCUAUGAUGCCAUGUCUUGAAAUCGAUGGCUGAAUUUGCUAGGAAAAUAUGGGGGGUGAAGAAGUAUAGUCCAUUUCUUGAUUCACCCUUGCCAAUCACUUUCUCGGAUUUGUUUUCUUGAAAUUCAAAACAAUGAUCAUCAAAAGUUACUUUAAUGUCAUUGUCUAGGGUUAAUUUGCUUAUAGCUAUGAGAUUAACCUUAAAUUCAGGAAUAUAUAAGACAUUUUUAAAGACUAGGAUUUCUGAAAUUUUAAUGCAUCCAACCACUUUAACUAUAAGUAUUUUGCCACUAGGUAUGGUGACAAAGGUAUUAUAUUUUUGAACUAAUGGUUUGGUGAAUAAAUGCAUGCUACCUGUCAUGUGUUGUGAUGCCCCGGUAUCCACUAUCCAUUUAUCAAUAUGUGAACUAGUGUUAAAUGAAAAUGAUAAAAAAUUACCUGAGUUGCUAUUGGCUUUUGUUGAAGAGAUUAGUUCUUUGCAAAGUUGGAUCUCUUCUUGACUAAGCACUAGUUGUUGCUGGUUGCAGGUGGAAGUGACCAGAUUUGCGGCAUCUGAAUUUUCAUUAUUCACUUUCUUUCCCUGAAAUUUCUUUUCAUCUUUGGGCCUCCCAACUAAGUGAUAACACUUAUCUCUAGUGUGACCAUAGUAUUUGCAGUUAUCAAAGUAGUACUUAGUGUCUAACUUCUUUCCAUUCUUGGAAUACAUGAUCUUUGAUUUAUCAGAAGUGUUCUUAUCUUUAGCAAAAAAUACGUAUUCUAUUUUUUCAUUGUUAUUGUCUCUAAACUUGAAUCUAUGUUUUUCUUCUUGAAUAACUAACCCAAGAACCUUAUUCAUGUUGGGUAGUUUUUCCAAUGAUAAAAUUUGAGUUUUAAGAUUGUAAAAGCUUUCAUUUAAUCCUAGGAGAUUUUGAUGAAUCAUAUCACUUUUUUCCUUUUGUAGAUAUAAUUUCUUGCAUAUUUUGCAAAAUUCCUCUUUUAUCUCAUCAAUUUGGACAAGUUGAUCCCAAAUUGAUCUGAAUUUGUCGUAAAAUUCAGAAGCAGACAAUGUUCCUUGUUGUAAACAACACAAUUCGUACUUAAUUUGACUAACCUUAGGGGCAUUGCUUUGUUUAUAUCUAUUUUCCAAAUCCAUCCAUAUUUGGUGUGCAUUAUUUGAAUACAUCAACGUGGACUGAAUUUGGGGAGAGACUGAAUUUAAUAUCCAAGCUAAAACCAAACAAUUCACAACUUUCAAGAUAUUGUAUUCCCUACUAGUAAUGUCAUCAGCCAUUUUUAUUUGGCCAUUAAUAAAAGAAUCUUUCCUUCUUGAGACUAAUGACACUUUCAUUCCAUUACACCAAGUGAUAUAAUUGGUUUCUCCAACCAAUCUAUCGGGCACUAGUAUAGCCCCCGAGUGAUCACUGGAGGUCAGGAAAAAAGGGGACUCUGGGUCCUGUAAAGAGGAUACAUACCUUUCUGUCCUAUGUCUUUUAAAAAAAGAAUUAUCAUAGAACCCUUCAGAGUUGUUUGCUUUAGACUUUCCAGUAGAUCCCGAUGAUGAAUGAUUUGAUGCUGCCGGUGUCUGAAUCGGAUUGCUUGGCCGUGCAACAGAAAUAGCCGGAGCAUUUGCAGGAGAGAUUAUGGAAGCGUUGGGUUUGUUGGCCAGAGGGAGGUCAGCAGCAACAUUCACCGAUGAUACCAUCAUAAAAACCAGUGAGGAGGGAUGAGACGACGCCAAAGAGGAGACUUCUGAUGUCCGGCGAGCUUCUGGUCGAGCACCCUGCCGGAAUCGCCCUAGGGUUUUCCACACAGUCAAAGAUUUCUGAAUCAUUAAAAUGCAAAAGCAGGAAAGUUAUUGUAAAGAAACCUCGCUGUCAAGAAAGCUACAGGUAUGCUAAAAAUUCUUCAUGUUUUUUAACUUAUGGAGACCACCCAGGUGCUUAAAUGGUGGUUGAUAAAUUGAGAGGUGAGGAGAAUUACAUGGCUUGGGCAAAUUCUAUGAGAUUGUCAUUAGUUUCUAAAAAGAAAACUUCUUUUCUAAAUGAUAAAAUUAGAAAACCCUUAAAUGAGGAAGGGGAGAAUUAUGAAGAUUGGGAGAUGGUUAAUGGUUUAGUGCUAUCAUGGAUCAUCAACAGAUCGAUAAGAUAGCAUCCACCCUAGUUAAUUUAAUUUAUAUUAAAUAUAAGAUUAUUAAAAUUAAAUUUUUAAGAAUUAAGGUAAAAAGUUUAUGAAUUUUAAAUUAUAGGUUUACUUUUUUAUUUUUUUUUUAUAAUUUAUAAUUUUUUAAUUUUUAUAAUUCCAGACGGGUCGCCUCGGAUCAAUUCAGUUCCGCGCCCCAGUCAUCGGGUCUAGGGCGGGUCUCAGGAUAGGAAGGUAGCGUGUCUGACCUGCCCCGUUACGUGCCCCAUUUUUCCAGAACGGGAUGGAUACCAUGGCCGCCCUGCCUGUGACCCGUCCCGUUCUCACCCCUAAUGACAUAUCUCUCGAAAGACAAUAUUUUCAACAAAAUGUGUUUUGGAUUUUGGUGUCAAAAAAAGAUGAUGUGUUUGAAAGAGAGGUAAGCACAUAGGGAAAAUAAGGAAGUGUAAAGGUGUGUUCGUAAACAAAUAAAAUAUAUCAUCGCAAAAAACUAAUAAAAAAUAAUAUAAUAAAUGGACGAGUGAUAUUUUCAAUGCAUUUAUCAAACUGUUGAGACCUUAUGAUGAGCUCAUGAAAAACAAUAGAAUAUAACUUAAUAGUUUACGUU
rnacentral:lncRNA from 1 species